rnacentral:rRNA from 1 species
CCUACGGGGUGCAGCAGUGGGGAAUAUUGCGCAAUGGGCGAAAGCCUGACGCAGCGACGCCGCGUGAGGGAUGAAGGUCUUCGGAUUGUAAACCUCUGUCAGCAGGGAAGAACGGUCACUGUGCUAAUCAGCAGUGAAUUGACGGUACCUGCAAAGGAAGCACCGGCUAACUCCGUGCCAGCAGCCGCGGUAAUACGGAGGGUGCGAGCGUUAAUCGGAAUUACUGGGCGUAAAGCGCUCGUAGGCGGUAUGUCAAGUCAAGGGUGAAAUCCCCGCGCUCAACGUGGGAAAAGCCUUAGAAACUGGCAAGCUGGAGUGUGUGAGAGGAUAGUGGAAUUCCAGGUGUAGGAGUGAAAUCCGUAGAUAUCUGGAGGAACAUCAGUGGCGAAGGCGACGAUCUGGCACGUAACUGACGCUGAGGAGCGAAAGCGUGGGUAGCAAACAGGAUUAGAUACCCGGGUAGUC